rnacentral:rRNA from 1 species
UACGAAGGGGGCUAGCGUUGUUCGGAAUCACUGGGCGUAAAGCGUAUGCAGGCGGAUCGUUAAGUCGGGGGGUGAAAUCCCGAGGCUCAACCUCGGAACUGCCUUCGAUACUGGCGAUCUUCGAGUCCGGGAGAGGUGAGUGGAACUCCGAGUGUAGAGGUGAAAUUCGUAGAUAUUCGGAAGAAACACCAGUGGCGAAGGCGGCUCACUGGCCCGGUACUGACGCUGAGAUACGAAAGCGUGGGGGAGCAAACAGGG